AUGUCGCCCCGCUCUUUCCUGCUCGAGGACAAGUUCUACUACAGCCGCGUAUUAACAAUAAGUUUUACUUCAUCUAUACACCAAGUUCAGGGAUUACAUAUCAUCUGUUCUUAUGCCAUCAAGUCGUUGUCGAACAACAUCCUGAGAUCUCUGAAAAAAUUGGAGAUUGCCUAUUGUUAUGCCAUCAAGGCACUGCCCAACAACCUCCCGAUUUCUCUCAAAAAUUUGGAGAUCAGUAAUUGUGAGGCGCUCAAGUCUUUGCCCAAGAAUGACCUUCCAAGUUCAAUGCUAGAGUUACAUGUCCUCCUACUACCAACUACUGCUCAGGAGUUUCAUGACGGGCCAUGGAUGCUACGGGAACAACUAGAUUUUUCACUUAUAGUUAUUUUAAUUUGUGCAUUUCUACUACUGCCGAUAGAGAAGGAGAAUGGGGAUGAUAUUUUUCUCUGA
rnacentral:rRNA from 1 species